ensembl:lncRNA
UGUGUGUGUGUGUGUGGCUGUGCGUACGUGCGUGUGUGUGUGUGUGCGUGGCUGUGCUUAUGUCUGUGUGUGUGGCUGUGCGCGUGCGUGGCUCUGUGCUUAUGUGUGUGUGUGUGUGCGUGGCUGUGCGCGUGCGUACGUGUUUGUGUGCAGUGCCGGUCAUGAUGAGUAAACGUAAACUAAGUAGAAUUGAGGGAAAUCUUCCACAAUCACUAAACUCCCUUUCUGAGAAGUGAGGGGAUCUUUCAACCCUUAGUCAUCCAAUUGGAUUGGUCACAUACACAGAGUGCAUAUGGAAUGUAUUCAGACCUCUUGACUUUAUCCACAUUUUGUUGCGUUACAGCCUUAUUCUAAAAUGGACUAAAUUGUUAUUGUUUUUUCUCAUCAAUCUACACACAAUACCCCAUAAUGACAUCACAAUAUCCCAUAAUGACAUCACAAUACCCCAUAAUGACGAAACAAAACACUUUCUUUGAAAACUUUGCAAAUCUAAUACAAAUAAAGAUGGAAGUAUCACAUUUACGUAAGUAUUCAGACCCUGUACUCAGGAAUUUGUUGAAGCACCGGUGUCAGCAAUUACAGCCUCAAGUCUUCUUGGGUAUGAUGCAACAAGCUUGGCACACCUGUAUUUGGGGAGUUUAUCCCAUUCUUCUCUGCAGAUCCUCUCAAGCUCUGUCAGGUUGGAUGGGGAGCGAUGUUGCACAGCUGUUUCCAGUUCUCUCCAGAGAUGUUCGAUCGGGUUCAAGUCUAGGCUGUGGCUGGGCCACCCAAGGAUAUUCAGAGACUUAGCCACUCCUACGUUGUCUUGACUGUGUGCUUUGGGUUGUUGUCCUGUUGGAAGGUGAACCUUCAACCCCAGUCUGAAGUCCUGAGUGCUCUGGAGCAGGUUUUCAUCAAGGAUCUCUUUGUACAUUGCUCCGUUCAUCUUUCCCUCAUUCCUCACUGGUCUCCCAGUCCCUGCCGCUGAAAAACAUCCCCUCACCACCAUGCUUCACCGUAGGGAUGGUGCCAGGUUUCCUCCAGACGUCACGCUUGGCAUUUAUGCCAAAGAGUUCGAUCUUAAUUUCAUCAGACCAGAAAAUCUUGUUUCUCAUGAUCUGAGAGUCCUUUAGCUGCCUUUUGGCAACUCCAAGUGGGCUGUCAUGUGCCUUUUACUGAGGAGUGGCUUUCGUCUGGCCACUCUACCAUAAAGGCCUGAUUGGUGGAGUGCUGCAGAGAUGGUUGUCCUUUUGGAAGGUUCUCCCUCAGG